rnacentral:rRNA from 1 species
UCGCGUUAAGCACCGUAUCGUGUUUGGGCGCGCUAGGUACGUCCMUCAUGGGUCAGCCCUUGUUCKUGAAUAAUCAGAUGAUUAAUAUGACUACCGAACAGGUGCCAAGCUAAGCACAGGAAACAUCAUAUACCCGCCUAGCGGAGGAUAAGAGAAAAGAAUAAUCGAAGGGGUCAUGUACUUGGUGGCUAGCGGUAAAAUGCGGUGAUUCACCAAUGACAAACHAACUGCGGAGGCAUUUCCCUAGUCUAUUUCUGUAUGAUCAAGGAUGUAGGUGUAGGGAUCAAAUCGGAUUAGACACCCGAGUAGUCUACACAGUAAACUAUACCAAUUAGAAAUGUGGUGAGUUAUAAGUUUCAUUAUGUAUCUGGAUGGAAACAUCAAAUGAGGUCAUGGGGGGAGUACGUUUGCAAGGAUGAAACUUAAACGGAUUGACGGAAUAGCACCACAAGACGUGGAGCGUGCGGUUUAAUUUGAUUCAACGCAGGAAAACUUACCAAGGUAUGACAUGGAAAUGAUAGACAGGUUAAAAGGCCUUUCUUGAUUCCAUGAGUGGUGGUGCAUGGCCGAUCUUAGUUGGUGUUGUAAAAUGUCUGGUUAAUUCCGAUAACGAACGAGAUCCAAACUUUCARGUUGGCGUAUACAGCAAUGCUGUACUGCGGUCUCUUUGAAGGACUACUGACCUAAGUCAGGGGAAGUUUUG